rnacentral:rRNA from 1 species
GGAAGGGRUGUAUUUAUUAGAUAAAAAACCAAUGCCCUUCGGGGCUCUUUGGUGAUUCAUAAUAACUUAACGAAUCGCAUGGCCUUGUGCCGGCGAUGGUUCAUUCAAAUUUCUGCCCUAUCAACUUUCGAUGGUAGGAUAGUGGCCUACCAUGGUUUCAACGGGUAACGGGGAAUUAGGGUUCUAUUCCGGAGAGGGAGCCUGAGACACGGCUACCACAUCCAAGGAAGGCAGCAGGCGCGCAAAUUACCCAAUCCCGACACGGGGAGGUAGUGACAAUAAAUACUGAUACAGGGCUCUUUUGGGUCUUGUAAUUGGAAUGAGUACAAUUUAAAUCCCUUAACGAGGAACAAUUGGAGGGCAAGUCUGGUGCCAGCAGCCGCGGUAAUUCCAGCUCCAAUAGCGUAUAUUAAAGUUGUUGCAGUUAAAAAGCUCGUAGUUGAACCUUGGGCCUGGCUGGCCGGUCCGCCUCACCGCGUGCACUGGUCCGGCCGGGCCUUUCCUUCUGGGGAGCCGCAUGCCCUUCACUGGGUGUGUCGGGGAACCAGGACUUUUAC